GCCAAGCCGCCUCAAUCAACCCGGUGCGAGUGGUGGUGUCAAAGUUUGCCUCGCAACUUAACUUGGAACAAGAUAAAUACAAGGAGAUCCUUAAAGGUGUAACAGGCAGCACUGGCCCUGGUGAAAUCCUAGCUUUGAUGGGUCCUUCUGGUAGUGGCAAAACAACCUUGUUAAAAAUAAUAGGUGGAAGGUUGACAGAUAAUGUGAAAGGGAACAUUACAUACAAUGACAUACCUUACAAUCCGGCUCUUAAACGAAGGUUAGCUCAUUUUUAUCGAAGCUUUUCUUUUUUUCGUCAUUCAGUCGAUUUUGAGUGUUUCAUUUUCUUGCAGGAUUGGAUUUGUGACACAAGAUGAUAUCUUGCUUCCCCAACUAACAGUGGAAGAAACCUUAGUUUUUUCAGCAUUUCUGAGACUUCCGAGUGACAUGAGCCUGCAACAAAAGUAUGCAAAAGUAGAGAUGAUUAUGAAGGAGCUAGGCCUUGAAAGGUAUGAACUAUGAUAUUCACUGGGAUAAUAAACAGAACUUUUACCUUCUUUUCUAAGUUAUCUGUUGCAUAACUGUAGAUGUCGUCACACGAGAAUCGGGGGAGGAUUAGUUAAAGGAAUAUCAGGAGGAGAAAGAAAAAGGACUAGUAUUGGCUAUGAAAUUCUUGUUGAUCCUUCAUUGUUGUUGCUUG
rnacentral:lncRNA from 1 species